rnacentral:rRNA from 1 species
GUGGGGAAUAUUGGACAAUGGGCGAAAGCCUGAUCCAGCCAUGCCGCGUGUGUGAAGAAGGUCUUCGGAUUGUAAAGCACUCUAAGUUGGGAGGAAGGGCAGUAAGUUAAUACCUUGCUGUUUUGACGUUACCAACAGAAUAAGCACCGGCUAACUUCGUGCCAGCAGCCGCGGUAAUACGAAGGGUGCAAGCGUUAAUCGGAAUUACUGGGCGUAAAGCGCGCGUAGGUGGUUUUGUAAGUUGGAGGUGAAAUCCCCGGGCUCAACCUGGGAACUGCCUCCAAAACUGCAGGACUAGAGUACGGUAGAGGGUAGUGGAAUUUCCUGUGUAGCGGUGAAAUGCGUAGAUAUAGGAAGGAACACCAGUGGCGAAGGCGACUACCUGGACUGAUACUGACACUGAGGUGCGAAAGCGUGGGGAGCAAACAGGAUUAGAUACCCCUGUAGUCC